rnacentral:lncRNA from 1 species
AUUCUUUGAACGUGUCUGCAAAGCUAGACUAUACACAGAAUGUCAGGCAGUAGUUGGGAAGCCUGCUUGUAUGAUGAGGGUUUUCACAGUGUGUAUGCAUUCACAGUCAAUAUCCCACGGAUGCCUAUGUACAUCAAUGUAUCUUUACCGCGGCAUGUACAGUUCAUAAUAUGCACACAUGUGUGUGCGGUGAUCUGGUGACCUAGUAUAUGAAAUUAGUGCAAUGAAUGUUACGAGAUGAAAUGGAUUACUGCUUUUGACAGAUAACUCGAAGAGACUCAAAUUAUUUUUGCUCUGAAGGUUGGAGUAGGAAAGUGGAGGAGGUGCUGCCUUUUUAUAGAGGGCUUCAUAAACAUUUCUUUCUCGACAGGAGUUUUAGGAUUCCGGUUGAGCGCCCUCUGCUGGUUACAAGUAGAUAUCCUCUCUUUCUCGCCGGGCAACGGAGAGGAAGGAGGUAUGAUGAUGGCUAACAAAUGAACAAAUGUCUUGUUAAUAUAGCCUUGCAUCCCUAACAUCAUGGCAUGCUUUAUAUAGCCUCAUAUUGACGUCUUUGAGUUCGAAUAUUUAAUUUUUUUUUUUUUAAUCAGAAUCUCAGUUCUGCCUUGCUGCUAAUAACCUGAUCAUGUGCAUGGGCUCUACUCCAUGAAUUUACCCCCUCUCCUGAUUCAUAAUGCAUCCUACUACCAUGUAGAAUUAGAGAAAGUGCCCUGUGUGAUUUGCAUUUCAGUCCCAUCUAAUGACAUUGAUGUAUGUGCACGAGUACACCCAGCACCAGUUGAUAUUCAGCAGUGGGACUUGUUGACUAAUUACCUGGCAUGAAGCGGUUGCGGCCAUCCAUUCUAGUGGAGGGUCUAUGUAAUAUAGAUGACAAGUGAAUUGAUGUGGCAGUGGAAAGCAAAUCCAAUUGAUGAAAUUCAAGGUUUAAUAACCUUUGAUUUUUUUUAAUGAAUAAUAAACUGUGACAGUAGAGACAUACAUAACUUGUUGGCAUCAUUGAUGAUCAAAGAAUAUCAAAGGGACGUAAAGGCAAUCAAACUCUAAAAUUUUCUUUGAUAUAUUGAAAUAACCUUGAUAGUUUUUAUUAUGUGGAGUUUCUAAAUUGAUCUAUGAGCAAUUCCCAAGAUCCAAUGAGAUUUGUUCAGGUGAAUGUAGGGAUGUAAUGAGUUUGUCUUAUGGACAUAAUACAUAGAAUUAGUGCACACUUACGGGCCAGUGAGGCGAUUAAUAAUUUUGUAGUAAUCAUAUUCUAAUCUGUCUUUGCUAAUUUGGCAUAUUCGGCAUUGCUAUUACUGCACAGCAUAGUCAAGUAUAGAUGAUAAUUAUGAUUCGAAUUUAAAAACAAAACAAAACAAUGUAAAAACAACAAACAAAUGCAACUAUACUGGAACUUUUGAAAAAUUCUGCUUAAAUUUUCUCUUUCAUCCUAAAGCUAAUUUAUAAUGACCUUAUGUCCAUUUGAUUUUGGAUGACUGUCAUUAAAAUAGCAACUUUCAAAUUCAAAUUAAAUUCUUCUUCUUUUUCUUUGCUCUUUUCUCUGUUAAGCGAGAUUCACUGCCUUGAGCUUCAUUCUUUUUCUAAUCGCAAGCGCUAAAAGAACGUAAAUAAAACAUUUUUCAAUCUAAGAUACAGCUAUAAUGAGCAUUAUUACGCCACUUUCAUCAACAUUGGCAUUCUUCCUAAAAAUAUGAAAUAAUAAUAAUAAUAAUAAUUAUUUGAAGUUUGAAGAGGUUUAUGCCUCCAAAAUUUGUUUCAUUGGAUUGGAUUUUUUUCAGGACAAAUUUAUGAAAUGAUUUGAGGAUUAAUAAAUGGUUAAUGAGACUUAUAGAAGAGCUGCAUUUACAAGGAAUGACAUGCAUGUAUGUACUGUAUUGUGUGGAAUUAUACAUGUUUAUUGUUUUAUUUCAGGAUGUUGUAUGUUAUUCUUCAUAUUUAAAAAAAAAAAAAUCAUCCUUCAUUUGUUUCUGUUUGCAUGCAUCUCUGUAUACCUUCGAUCAUGUUUGUGCAAUUUGUUGUGUAUUUUCAAUUCCAAUUCCAAUUUUAUUUCUGUUUCCAACAAAACAUUACAAAUCUGUUAUAAUCAUUUUCAAAAAUUAAGGAAUACAUAUUGGAAACAGAGGGGUCCACUAAGAAGCAUGUUGAAAGCUAGAUGGGCAUUAACUCUGUAGUGAAGGAUAAACAUGUACGUUUACACCUUUUUGGUUAUCUUCAGACAAUAUCAUCUGUUCAGAGCCAGAAGGGCAUUAAUUCUGUGUAAAAGUUUAGGAGUUAAAUGCCCUGUGUAAAAUAUAUCUCUCAAACAGAAAUGCCCCCACCAUUGCAUAUUUUAUGUCACCUUGUUGUUCCAUUUCUUGACCUCACCUUCCCUCCUUCAACUCAACUGUUUCCUCUCUCAUUCAGUGAUGUAUCUUAUUACCAACUUUCUAUCUUAUAGUAUUUAUAUGUUCAUGUACUUUGUUUAGACUUACUAGUGUUUGUUGAAUUGUUACAGAUUAUUUGUUUUAUGUUUUAUGAAAUUAAACCGUAAUCCACUCCCCCCUCCCAAUUGUUUUUAUUUUUAUUAAUAUCUAUGAACACUGCAAUAUUCCUGAUGUGCAUCAGUCUGCGAUUUCCUGCGGUAACUUCAUAUUCGGCUAUCUUUGUUAUGUCUGUAAGGUACAAAACAUUUAUGGCUAUUUACAAAUAUUUGACAUGAAGUUGAAUAGUUAAAAGUAGAACAUUUGAAAGGAAUGUAUAUUUAAGGAUAUAUUUGUCCUGCUUACGUCCUUGAUUUAGCCUCCUGGUUGUACUUUUAACUCGUCCUUUUUUGUAAUUCUGUCUGGGGUAUGUGCUGUCUCAAAGUUUACGGAAAUGUUUGCUCAUACUGAGAUUGUCUCAUGCGAUAUGAAUGACGUGGAAUCCAAAAGCCCUGUUCAGAUACGGCAUAGUUAACGGCCUGAAAAUGAAAUCUCCUGCAGCACAAGAAACAUUUAAUCUGAAAUGAAUUGCAAAUUGGAGUUCAAAAGAGAGCUGCACUUAUCCAAGGCCUCUACAUGUCAUCCUUGAUCCGUGUAUAAUAGACAGAUUUGUGACAUGCACAUGCUGACGUCAUUUUAUUUCAUCAAAGCAUUUUCAGGUGUUUUCCGCUUCACAUUAUUUAUUUUCAUUUUUUGAAAUUUAUUGUUAUAUCACCAGGGUAGCCCAUUCAGCAAAAUUUGGUCUUCCAUGGGAAUUUAAGAAAAAUGCCUGAGUAAGGCUCACAUCUUUCAUUACAUACAUGUAGGUUAUGUCAAUAAUGUGAACAAAUCAAUUCAGUUUAGCAAAUAGAGAGGAUUUUGGGAUUCAAUGGAGAAAGACAUGAAUGUAAUGUAAACAUUUCCCCGGUAGUCGGCUAAUGUUAAUGUGACGCAUCCAUGAUGUACAUGUAGUAUUGACUGAGCAUUCUUCUACAAAUACUAGUGGUUGAAUUUCCUCGUCUGCAGAGCUAUGCAUUUUUCUGUUGCAUAUAUGUAUGGACAUAAAGUAAGCUUGUUGAGGAGUAACUGUGUAUGUUUAUGUAUAGACAGCUUUGUGGACAUAUAUUGUACACUGUUUGCCUCCAUGUACUGUAAAUGCGAUUCUUGUCUAUGGAAUCAUAUUUACCAGUGCGAUCUAGCGCAAUGUGAAUUCAACAUGUUUACCACAAUGUGAUCACGUUGUUGAAUACUCUUCCCCCCCCCCAUUCAAUAACAGAAAUGCAUUGUUAAUAAACACUUCCUUGAUUUGUACAUUUACAAGUGAAAUAUAACCCUUUUAUUUCAACUCUGACCACACCCUUAAGCUCUUGAUUACAAAAGAAUGAAAAGUUGUUUUUGUUUUUCAGUUAUUUCCAAGUGGAUGUUCAAGACUUUGAAAGGGCAUAGACAAGUGGAACAUUAAUAAUAUAAUUUUCAUAAUUGAAAUAAAUAGCAUGAAGUACAUCAGUCUUGAGUAUUUAUAUUUUUCCUGGAUCUGGCGAACAUUAAGAUUAGAUCGCAAGCAAUGUAUUCAUAUAAUUAUAACCACUUUCACCUUGGAUUGAAUUGAAUACAUAUAGGUGGCAUUAUUCUCAGUCCAUUAUUCUUUUCUAUGACAGGGCAUGGCUACAUUCACGAGGGUAACAAGAGGAGCGGUGGCUGGCGUCGCUCACUCUAUUUAGUCGGGGUGGGAAGGUGACGGUGGACUCGGUUUUAAAAUUAGGAGGAAAUCAGAGCGAAUAGAAGCUCAAUAGAUUGUAUGGUGUGUAAACAAAUCACAGGCACCCGGGAAAGCAUGCUUGGCUGCCUGUCAAUUUCUCUUUUUCAUCAGGCCUUUUUUUACUUUUGAACGUGGAUAGAGAGAUGGUGUUAAUUUGAUGUGAAAUCAUGGGAAUAAUUGGAGGCAGGCAGUCAGUCAAUUAUCACUCUGACUUGUUUGGAAGAUAGUAGUUUGUGUGACAGUCUCUUCCC